rnacentral:lncRNA from 1 species
GACCACAAAGAAAAGAGGAACUAAAGGACAACACAAGAUGCCUCUACAGAGCAAAGAAGCCUGGCAUACUCCUCACCGCAUGACAAAAGUCGUCACUGAUGGGACAAGUCAAUCUCAGGCGUCUCCUCAUAGAAAGCACUAAGAGGCUGAACCAUUUAACAUUCCCACCAGCAACAUACGAGGGUUCCAGUUUCUCCACAUCGUCCUCAAAACCAGUUACUGCCCGUCUUUUGAUUCUGGCCAUCCUAGUAGGUGAGAAGUGGUAUCUUACUGUGGUUUUCAUUUGCAUCUCCCUGAUCACUAAUGAUGUUGAGUAUUAAUGAUGUGUUUAUCUUCUCAGAGUAACUGUCUAUUCCAAGUCCUUUGCCCAUUUUUUAGUUGAGCUUUUUUUUGCUG